CCAGCUGUGCUGCCUGCAGUCACCCCUGCAGUCUUCAGCCUUUGCCACCUCCAUAAUUCUGCAGAAGGAGCAGGGAAGACAAGAGCAACGAGCACGGGGUGCGGGGACACAGCGGAGCAGAAGAGCACGGAGCACGGACUUGUGGGUGAAGACACGACACGGAAGUCAAGGGGAAAACACGGGGUUGAUUCUGUGACUAUUUACACCACUGUAAAUAAACGCACUGCCUUCAUCACAAAGUCCUGCAUCUUGGGUCCUCAUUCCCCAUACCCCCACGGUCUGCCAUGCCGAACCGUGACAGUUCCUGUGUUUUGAAGAACUUUUCCUGCCAGCAGCAGCAUUUCAAUGAGCAAACUGGGCGGAUUUAAGUCCCAUUAAGUGGGUAUUGGAUAAUCUUCUUUGAUCCAACUUCACUUCCUGAUUUAGGAUAAUAACACAUGUAUUUAUAAAAAUGACUCCUUUAAAUCACUGUCUUUUUGUGUAAACACAAAGAGCCAGUUCUUCUGCUUAAUUCAUUCUGGUGUGAGCUUUAUACGGACAGGGCACAAAGAGAUCUUAUGCUUGAGUCUUUGGGAUGAAUGAUUAUUC
rnacentral:lncRNA from 1 species